rnacentral:rRNA from 1 species
CGUAGCAAUACGUCAGUGGCAGACGGGUGAGUAACGCGUGGGAACGUACCUUUUGGUUCGGAACAACUGAGGGAAACUUCAGCUAAUACCGGAUAAGCCCUUACGGGGAAAGAUUUAUCGCCGAAAGAUCGGCCCGCGUCUGAUUAGCUAGUUGGUGAGGUAAUGGCUCACCAAGGCGACGAUCAGUAGCUGGUCUGAGAGGAUGAUCAGCCACAUUGGGACUGAGACACGGCCCAAACUCCUACGGGAGGCAGCAGUGGGGAAUAUUGGACAAUGGGGGCAACCCUGAUCCAGCCAUGCCGCGUGAGUGAUGAAGGCCCUAGGGUUGUAAAGCUCUUUUGUGCGGGAAGAUAAUGACGGUACCGCAAGAAUAAGCCCCGGCUAACUUCGUGCCAGCAGCCGCGGUAAUACGAAGGGGGCUAGCGUUGCUCGGAAUCACUGGGCGUAAAGGGUGCGUA